rnacentral:rRNA from 1 species
UUUCUGGUAACUUCUGCUCAAUGUAAUCAUAAAUUGCCGCAGUAUAUUAACUGUGCUAAGGUAGCAUAAUAAUUUGUCUAUUAAUUGUAGACUAGCAUGAAUGAAUAAAUGAGGUUUUACCUGUUUCAUAUAAUAAUAUAAAAAUUUAUAUAGAAGUGAAGAAGCUUCUAUAGCCUCAUAAGACAAGAAGACCCCGAAGAGCUUAAAUUAUAAGUAACUGAAUAACCUUAAAAAUUUGGCUGGGGCGGCCUAGAUCACAAUAAUCAAUCUUACACUACUAGAUACAUAAAUCAAAUCUUGAUCCACUACAAGUGAACAAAAAUAUAAGCUACCGCGGGGAUAACAGACUAAUCUUUUUCUAAAGUUCAAAUUAAAAAAAAGGAUUUGCACCUCGAUGUUGGCUUAUAUACUUAUUUAGUGCAAAAGCUAAAAAUAAUAGAUUCGUUCAAUCUUUAAAAU